CCGGCCCGGCCCGGCCGCGCCGCAGCCUCCUCCCGCGCGCGGCCCCGGCCCCGGCCCCGGCCGAGCUGCUCCCCGCGGGCCCGGCCCGGAUCCGCUCCGGGAGUCUCGCAGCGGCCGGGGCUCGUGGGCGGCCCCCGGGGGCCUGCUCCAGCCCCGGGGCGCGGGGCUCUGCGCGCUUCGGCUUCCCCGCCUGGGGCCCCGGGGGAGGCCGCCCCGUGCUCUGCGCUUUCUUCCCCGGCCCGAGGACGUGGUUCUGCUCCGGCCCGGCCCGGCACUGCCCGGCGGGACUCCCCUGGCGGCUGCUCGCCCGCAGACAGCUCGGGCCGCGCCGGGCCGGGCCGGUGCGGAGCCGGCGAUGGCCUCACACCGUGGGAGCUGAGCGGUGCCAGCUGCAAUUGUUGCAUUCCUCAGAUUCACCGAGGCGGCGGCGGCGGGGGGGCUCUGCCAACUGACCUGUGCUUUACUUCAGCAGUUGCUUAUUUCCCCCCCUUCAUCAGUGGGAGGAUUUAAGGUGAACUGCAAAGGUGGUCUGGAAAGCAUCGGAGAAAUCUGUUUUGCAGCGUGCAGGAAACGCUGGUGAAGAGUUCUGCAGAUGGCACUUGUCCGUCCCAGCAAGUGGGAAGCCUGCGUGUUCUUUGUGUGAGACCGUAUUGGGGGAAGGGUGAGGAGUUUGAGCAGUUAGCAGAUCUGGACACACAUCUCGUCUGGAUCUUCCAAGAUGGGGACAUGCUUGAAUGCUGAUUAAGAAUGACAGUGAACCAGUUUCUUUUAAAAAUAUUAUCCACUAGUGUGUAAACUGCAAUUACAGUCUGAAAAGGAGGGAAAGCCCUAAUUGCAGGAUCACCUCCUCUUCUGCCUCUAGAAUACUAGAGAACAAUGCAGUGCGAUGUACAGCAGGAAAGGAUGACAUGGGCACUCCCAGCAUGAGAACCACCAAAUACUCAUACUUGUGAUUAUAUUAGAUGGCAGACUAAGACACUGAAGAGAGCGCUUGUGGUGCUCUGUUGGGUCCGACCAGGUAUCCAUAUAACCAGCUUACUAGAAUCUAUCACACUCACAAUAAAGAAACCUGACUUAUUUCCUAGGUAGUUACAGUAUUGGACCUGCCAUCUGGGGAUAGUCUUACAUUUGCAGUUCUUCAGUCAAUUGGAGAUGUAGCUUGAUUAGGUGUCCUUGUCUUUCCUUAUAGCGUGGCAGAAGCAAGCUCUGUGUAGGAAUUGCUCUUCCUUCUAUAAUAAAAUAUAAUUUUUACUAGACAGUGAACUUCAUUAAAAAAACCAAACAAACUUUGUAUGAUACUGUUUUAACCUCUCAAUUACUUUUUGUUCGGGAUGAUGUGUGGUGCUUUUCACUUAGUUUGGACCAGGGGUGUGCAACCUUCUGGCCCCGCAGGCUGCCUAGGUGUAUGGUAAUGGGGCUAGUUUGUGGACUAAAUGAAUCCCAUGGGUGAGAUCAGUCCAUGGACCUGAGCCAGGGUCAGCAGACAGGGUCAUCUGCAGGUGCAGUCUGGCACACCCAUCUGGCUCCACGCACUGGAUCUGACUGUGUAUUGAUACCAUGCGCUGGCCUGACUCCAUGUGCCUGAUCUGGUCAUGAAGUGGAUUUGGCUAUGGAGUGACUCUGAAUUCAGUGCAUGGGACUGUCAUCUGGCCCGCAGGGGAGCCACAGCAGUUAAUGUUGCCAUCUCUCCCCUGCCACCAAAUUUCCAAACUCAUGGAGAGCCCUGUGGACUGGAGGUUGAGCACCAGUGAUUUAGACAAAAAAAGUCUGUUUCACUGAAUUCUUUGUCUCUGGUUCUUGUGGACUACACAUCAUUACAAAAUUUGGAUUUUCAAGUAUUGAGGUAGAUGUUAGUACCCAUAAACUGUCUUCAUUGACAGGAUGGAGCUGCAGACUUUGCAAACCUCUACUAGAUUUUGUGCUUUUUAAUUAUUUUAGUAAGUCACAUUUGAAAAUUGUUUUUUUUUUUUAAGAGCUCUUCUUUAGUGACUUUAAAACUUUCUGGUUCUGUGCUGUUUUUUGGGAUUGCAAAAUGCAGCCGAAACAAGCAUGACUUCCUUUUAAAAAUGACCGAGAAUUUUUAUUGUAACUGUUCAGUGUAAAACAUGUAAAGGCGGGGCUUGGCCUGAG